CUAUAGGUCACUCAGAGAUCUUGUUAAAAUGCAGAUUCUGAUUCAGCAGGCCUGAAGAGGGGCUUGGAAUGCUGCAUUUCUCACAAGCUCCCAGACGAUACUGAG
rnacentral:miRNA from 1 species